CAAGGGGAGUGGCAGACGGGUGAGUAACACGUGGGAACAUACCCUUUGGUUCGGAACAACGCCGGGAAACUGGCGCUAAUACCGGAUACGCCGUGCCCGUGAGGGUGCGGGAAAGGCUUUGCUGCCGGAGGAUUGGCCCGCGUUCGAUUAGCUAGAUGGUGCGGGUAACGGCCCACCAUGGCGACGAUCGAUAGCUGGUCUGAGAGGAUGGCCAGCCACAUUGGGACUGAGACACGGCCCAA
rnacentral:rRNA from 1 species